GCCCAGACUCCUACGGGAGGCAGCAGUGAGGAAUAUUGGUCAAUGGGCGCGAGCCUGAACCAGCCAAGUCGCGUGAGGGAGGACGGCCCUACGGGUUGUAAACCUCUUUUGCCGGGGAGCAACGGGCGUCACGUGUGGCGCCACUGAGAGUACCCGGAGAAAAAGCAUCGGCUAACUCCGUGCCAGCAGCCGCGGUAAUACGGAGGAUGCGAGCGUUAUCCGGAUUUAUUGGGUUUAAAGGGUGCGCAGGCGGCGUGUCAAGCAAGCGGUAAAAUAGCGGGGCUCAACCCCGUCGAGCCGUUUGAACUGGCGCGCUUGAGUUCAGGCGAGGUAGGCGGAAUUCGUGGUGUAGCGGUGAAAUGCAUAGAUAUCACGAAGAACUCCGAUUGCGAAGGCAGCUUACCAGUCUGCGACUGACGCUCAGGCACGAAAGUGUGGGUAUCGAACAGGAUUAGAUACCCGUGUAAC
rnacentral:rRNA from 1 species